AGUUUGAUCAUGGCUCAGGACGAACGCUGGCGGCGUGCUUAACACAUGCAAGUCGAGCGGAAAGGCUUCCUUCGGGAAGUACUCGAGCGGCGAACGGGUGAGUAACACGUGGAUAAUCAGCCUCUUGCUCUGGAAUACCCCGGGGAAACUCGGAUCAAUGCCAGAUAAAGUGCGGUGCUGUCGGGCGCCGUACCAAAGAUAGCUUCGGCCUUCGGCGAGAGACGAGUCCGCGGCCCAUUAGCUAGUUGGCGGGGUAAUGGCCCACCAAGGCUACGAUGGGUAGCUGGUCUGAGAGGAUGAUCAGCCACACUGGGACUGAGACACGGCCCAGACUCCUACGGGAGGCAGCAGUGGGGAAUCUUGCGCAAUGGGCGAAAGCCUGACGCAGCAACGCCGCGUGCGGGAAGACGGCCUUCGGGUUGUAAACCGCUUUCAGGGGAGACGAAGCUUCCAAGGUUAAUAGCUUUGUGGAGUGACGGUAUCUUCAGAAGAAGUCCCGGCUAACUACGUGCCAGCAGCCGCGGUAG
rnacentral:rRNA from 1 species